AAUUUGAAAAAAUUAGAACAUAUUAUAUGAUAGUCAAAUGUACAUAAUUAUAGGUAUAUUCAUUAGUUUUACUGGCUUAUAUUUUAUGACCGUCCUGGACAACAUUUAUUUUUCCCAAGAGAUUUUACUUGCAUGAUUGUAGUAAGUUUAAUAGUAACAGAGAAGUGUGAUCGAUAUACCCAAGUAAAUUGUCAUUAGAAAUAACAAUAUAAAUAUUAACCUGUAAUUUUGACCAUUGUAAGUG